AUUGAACGCUGGCGACAGGCCUAACACAUGCAAGUCGAGCGAGCGGCGGACGGGAGAGUACUGUAUGGGAAACUGCCCGAUAGAGGGGGCUAACUACUGGAAACGGUGGCUAAUACCGCAUACUAUCGAAUGAACCCAUAUGGGAUUAGCUAGUAGGUGGGGUAACGGCUCACCUAGGCGACGAUCUCUAGGUGGUCUGAGAGGAUGAUCAGCCACACUGGGACUGAGACCCGGCCCAGAUUCCGACGUGAGGCAGCAGUGGUGAAUAUUGCAAAAUGGGCGCAAGCCUGAUGCAGCCAUGCCGCGUGUAUGAAGAAGGCCUUAGGGUUGUAAAGUACUUUCAGCGGGGAGGCGUUACCCGCAGAAGAAGCACCGGCUAACUCCGUGCCAGCAGCCGCGGUAAUAC
rnacentral:rRNA from 1 species